rnacentral:rRNA from 1 species
CGGAGGGUGCAAGCGUUAUCCGGAUUCACUGGGUUUAAAGGGUGCGUAGGCGGAUAGGUAAGUCCGUGGUGAAAUCCUGCAGCUUAACUGCAGAACUGCCGUGGAUACUAUCUCUCUUGAAUAUCGUGGAGGUUAGCGGAAUAUGUCAUGUAGCGGUGAAAUGUUUAGAUAUGACAUAGAACACCCAUUGCGAAGGCAGCUAACUACGCGAUAAUUGACGCUGAUGCACGAAAGCGUGGGGAUCAAACAGGAUUAGAUACCCUGGUAGUCCACGCCCUAAACGAUGAUUACUCGACAUUGGUGAUACACAGUCAGUGUCUGAGCGAAAGCAUUAAGUAAUCCACCUGGGAAGUACGAUCGCAAGAUUG